rnacentral:rRNA from 1 species
UACGGGAGGCAGCAGUGGGGAAUAUUGCACAAUGGGCGAAAGCCUGAUGCAGCUAUGCCGCGUGUAUGAAGAAGGCCUUAGGGUUGUAAAGUACUUUCAUCGGGGAGGAAAAAACAAAACUAAUAAUUUUAUUUCUUGACGUUACCCGAAAAAGAAGCACCGGCUAACUCCGUGCCAGCAGCCGCGGUAAUACGGAGGGUGCUAGCGUUAAUCAGAAUUACUGGGCGUAAAGAGCACGUAGGUGGUUUUUUUAAGUCAGAUGUGAAAUCCCUGGGCUUAACCUAGGAACUGCAUUUUGAGACUGAAAUACUAGAGUAUCGUAGAGGGAGGUAGAAUUCUAGGUGUAGCGGUGAAAUGCGUAGAUAUCUGGAGGAAUACCUGUGGCGAAAGCGGCCUCCUAAACGAAUACUGACACUGAGGUGCGAAAGCGUGGGGAGCAAACAGGGAUUAGAUACC